UGGAUUGAUGAUGACCACUGAUGGCAUAUAAGUCAUAUGUGAUGAAUACGUGUCUUGAACUCUGAGGUCCAA
ensembl:snoRNA